CAGAGCUAAAUUGGUAUUUUCCCGUUUGCUGCGGCAAAUUUUUAUUAAAGUGUACCCUAUAUUUAUGAUUAUUAAACUUUAGUGUUCGCCAGAAUCGCCUGCAGGCCUCCUUAAAACAAGAUGUCUAAGUCCCCACCCCCACCUCCCCCCCCCCCCCGGAUUUCUGAUUCACUAGGUCUGGAGUGGAGCACAAUACAUUUGCAUUUCUAGCAAGUUCCCAGGUGAUGCUGGUAGAGCACACGCCCAGAACCACCGCCAGGUACACAAGUCACUGGACAAGGUGGGAAGGCAUCUUACUCAAUCAAUGGACCUUAUUCUAAAGCGGGAAGGGCACUGAGAGUAUAGGGAGGGUAUCUCUCAAAUGAGGAGUCUACGACCUGCUUCAGGGGAAGGCCAACAACUUCUUGGAUUUUAUGACCUGCUUCAGGGGAGAAGGACAAGGGAAGUACAGCGCCUACAACAAUGCAAAGGCUAGAAGGAAUGAAGGCAGGGACAUGGAAUGGAGAAUUUCCAUUUCACGGAUCCACAUAAACUGAAAAGGAACAAGAGUCGGUGAGACCAAAGAGCACUGAAGGCCAUGAACCACCACCAUUCUCAACCCCUGGGCCAGGCAAGAAAAGCCACGGUUCCUGGAAGGGAUGACGACAGGCCUUUCCUCUCAUUAAACCUUUUGUACUCCUAACUCCAUCUUACCAUCUGUUUUAUGGAGGACCUAACAGACACAGUGACCAAAGCUACAGGGGCCUCCAGAGGAAACGGUGAGAACCACAGGAGAAAGGGGGUCUUUGCUGCUGACGGCGAGCACCCAAGCCCAAGCUCCCAGUGGUGAUCUCUCACAAGACCACACAGCCGAUUUCCCUGGAGACAGCACAACCUGUUAAGGGCAUCUUCCAUGCCAUUAAGGGCUUACUGAAUUAUUUUCAUCCAUGCCCUUUUAAAAUAUGGUUGGUAGAAAUUUGCCAUUUGAGACUAGAAUCCCAUUCGGAAUCAUGUAAGUCUCUUUUGACUCCACGAGGACAUCUUUCACCCAGUUUUGGGAAAUCUGAGGAAUGGAUUCUUCUACAGACUGAUAAAAUAUCACAAGGUCCAAGAGUUUGUGUGAGAAAGAGGACAUCAAGUGAUGGAUGUGAACGUGGUAGACAUACAAUGGAAGGCAAGAAGGUAUCUCAACACAGCAGAACAAGACCCCAUGAGGAGCCCAGAAAAAAAAUAAAGAAGGUUCCUCACUGGUUAGGAAUUCAAAAGCAGUCCUGGCAACCUCAUAGCAUCUUUACCUCAGAAGCAGGCAGCUCUGGUUACUCCACCAUUUUCAGGAACAAGGUUUUUCUCUCCCCCUCUGCUGCAUUUCCUCUGCGGCUCCUGAUCCAUCUGCCUCUACCUUCUUCCUAGCAUCAAAUUUCCUCCCAGGAGACAACAUGAAUGGGUUAAGAAGUACCCAAUGAGGGCUGCUCCAACUGGACAGCAUCUUUGAAACUGGGACCUCACAGAUGGUCAUCACAGGCCCCUGAUGCCUGGGUACCCAGCGACCAACCCCAGUCUAGUCUGUCUAUAGCAACAUAGGUGAAGGGGAGUCUCAGGGGCUGCCUAAAGGGCUCAGAAUGUGGUGAGUACUUAAGACUGCAUGGAUUUUCACUGUUUACAUGAAUAUAGGACAAGUAUUCACAGAACUAUUAGCUAGAUCUGUGAACAAAACAUUAAUAACAUUGUAUGUCCAUGUCUGAACCCCUGAAAUUCCAACAACCACCACCCGCCUACCAACUUGCAGCAAACCGGCUCUCUCCACAGUCUUCCCCAGAUCAGGGAGAAACAAUUCCAUCCUUCCAGUACUCAGACUGUAAAACUGGAUUCAUUCUGAUUCCUCUCUCACACAUCCCACACCUGAUCUGACAGGAAAUCCUAUAAACUCUGCCAUUAAAAUAUAUCCAGAAACAGGCCAGGCACAAUGGCUCAUGCCUCUAAUCCCAGCACUUUGGGAGGUCGAGGCGGGCGGAUCAUGAGGUCAGGAGUUCGAGACCAGCUUGGCCUACAUGGCAAAACCCUGUCUCUACUAAAAAUACAAAAAUUAGCUAGGUGUGGUGAUGCACACCUGUAAUCCCAGCUACUUGGGAGGCUGAGCUAGGAGAAUCACUUGAACCCGGGAGGCACAGGCUGCAGUAAGCCAAGAUCGUGCCACUGCACUCCAGCCUGGGCGACAGAGUAAGACUCUGUCUCAAAAAAAAAAAAUAUAUAUAUAUAUAUAUAUAUGUCCAGUAAUGUGCAACUUUCACAGUCUCCACCAGGAUCAUCACAGUCUAACCACUGCUUCCUCCAGCCUGAACUUACUGCAAGAGGCCACUCACUGGUCUCCAGGCAUCCACUCUUGCUUCCCCCACGCACCCCACCACCAGUGUCUAUUCUCAACAGAGCAGCCAAAAUUGUCCUUUUAAACAUUGGUUGGAUUGUGUCUUCUGUCUGUUCAAAACUCUCCAGUAUGUCCACAUGGAUCUCAAAAUAAAACCAAAGUUCUGGCCAGGCACAGUGGUUCGUGUCUGUAAUCCCAGCACUUUGGGAGGCUGAGAAGGGAGGGUGGCUGGAGCCCAGGAAUUCAAGACCAGCCUGGGCAACAUGGCAAAACCCCAUCUCUCCAAAAAAUACAGAAAUUUGCUAGGCGAGGUGAUGUGUGUUUGUAGUCCCACCUACUCAGGAGGCUGAGGUGGAAGGAUCACUUGAACCCAGGAGGUUGAGGCUGCAAUGAGCUGUGAUCACGUCACUGCACUCCAGCCUGGGUGACAGAAUGAGACUCUGCCAAAAAAAAAAAUUCAAAGUUCUUACCACAGCCUACAAGACCUGCCAUGACCUGGUCCUUCCUACCACCUGUCUCAUCUUUGCACUCUCACUCACUCUGUACCAACCACACUGGCCUCCUGGAUGUUUCUGGAACAUACCAAACAUGCUCUAAUCACCAGUCUUUGCACUGGAUUUUUCUUCAUUCUGGGAUGUUCUUCCCUUGGAACUCCACAGGGCUAACCCCCACAGUUCCUGCACAUCUAUCAAUGAUGUUUAACAAACCACCCCACUUCGCCUCUGCAGUAUUCCCAAUCGCCACACCUGCCCUGUGUGGUAUUUUAUCACAUACCAUGUAAUUAACUUAUUUGCUAUCUUUAGGAAAAGGGUUUUUUUUUAAAUUUUUUGUUUGCAUGUUUUGUUUUCUUUUUGCUUUUGGUAUCUCUUCCCCUGGUAGAAUGAAAGCUCCGUGAGAAAACCUAGACGAAUCUCUGAAACUUAAUGCUCAAUAAAUGUUUGUUGGUGAAUGCCUGAUUUACAGGACAGCUGAAGCAGUUUAUUAAUUUAGAAGAGCUUAUUAAUUUAGAAGUUAUCAACUAUUGUAAAACUUCCACUGCAGUUUGAAGUUUGAUGUGAUGGGUUGAAAAAAACCACAAUUAGCAAAGUGCACUCUCCUUUUUUUCUAUUUAUCUUCUAAUCACCAGUCUGCUCUGAUGCUGAUUGACACACAGAUACUGAUGUGUUGUUUCCCAUAAAUUCACAAGCCAGUGAGUCAGUCCUUCAGGUAAUAAACAGAUGGCUGUCGGCCAGGUGAGAUGAAAAGGCAUGGUUGCCAUCCUCGAGGAAUUUACGUGUAGCAUGCGUGAUUUAUUGCACUAAGGUAUAAAUAUAAGGUAUAAGAAAUAUCUUACUGGUUUGUUGUGGUGGUUUCUUGUGAUUUUUUCUGUCUCUAAAUAAAAUUAAAUCUGCUCCAUUCCCUCUGAACCAAGCUUAGGCUGAGAUUCUCUGCUGUGGGUCCC
rnacentral:lncRNA from 10 species